AUGGCCCAACUCGCAACUACAUUAUCCAGCAGGAAUUUUGCAUGUUUGUACACUUAUAAAGGCCCAGCCCCAGACGUGCACAUCCAUUGCCAUGCCUCAGCCCAUAUACAACCCAGAAAGCUCUCCACCGCCAUCAAGCCCCGACGAACGAUCGCUCCAAAACGAAUCAGAAACAGAUCUCACAUGGUAGCUACCCCCCAAAAAAGAUCUUGCCUGAUUGCUGCUCACCACCUCACCAUCGCUGAUCUCUUUCCAUCGUUCAUGCUGCGCCGCCAAUUCCCCUCGACACUUCGACUACUUGACUCGACGAACCGUACAUCCGGACCUGCGCGGCUGCGCCCGGCGGACGGCGCCACAGCCCCCAUCAACCGUUCUAUUCUGUUCAGCUCCAUUUACACAACCGGCUGGACAUGA
rnacentral:rRNA from 1 species